rnacentral:rRNA from 1 species
UACGUAGGCAGCGAGCGUUGUUCGGAGUUACUGGGCGUAAAGGGUGCGUAGGCGGUUGUUUUAAGUUUGGUGUGAAAUCUCCCGGCUCAACUGGGAGGGUGCGCCGAAUACUGAAUGACUAGAGUGCGGGGAGAGGAGAGUGGAAUUCCUGGUGUAGCGGUGAAAUGCGUAGAUAUCAGGAGGAACACCGGUGGUGUAGACGGCUCUCUGGACCGUAACUGACGCUGAGGCACGAAAGCGUGGGUAGCAAACAGG